rnacentral:rRNA from 1 species
AUGAAUGUAGAUGGUGGUGUCUCGAGGAAUGGAGCACGAGGAGCAGCGGCUGUUAUAUGCAGGGAUGAAGCGGGAGUUUUUCUGGGAGCUUCUGCAGUUGUUUUUGAUGGCCUAGUGGAUCCACCAAGUUUGGAAGCACAAGCAUGCAAUGAAGCUCUAUCGUUAGCCAAAGAUCUGAAUCUGCGGCGAGUUCAGGUGGCAUCGGACUGCUUGGAGGUUGUGAACAGCAUCAACAGGGGUGGAGCGCCUGUGUAUGGCCCGAUCUUGCAUGAGAUAAAGGAUCGGGUGAAUGAGCUUGAGUUUGUCAAUUUUUCUUUCGAAUUUCGCGAGUCGAACUAUGAGGCUCAUGCUUUGGUUAAGGCUGCCACUUCCUUGGCAGUCGGGCGCCACGUGUGGCUAGGGAUUACACCCAAUAUAAUUUGUAUUCCACACAAUGUGAUGAAUGAAUAA